UACGAAGGGGGCUAGCGUUGCUCGGAAUGACUGGGCGUAAAGGGCGCGUAGGCGGAGUGCUUUGUCAGGCGUGAAAUUCCAGGGCUUAACCUUGGGGCUGCGUUUGAGACGGGCAUUCUUGAGUAUGGAAGAGGGUCGUGGAAUUCCCAGUGUAGAGGUGAAAUUCGUAGAUAUUGGGAAGAACACCGGUGGCGAAGGCGGCGACCUGGUCCAUGACUGACGCUGAGGCGCGAAAGCGUGGGGAGCGAACAGG
rnacentral:rRNA from 1 species